CUCAAAUUUUAGGAAGAAAGCCAAUGCUUCCAGGCUCCUGCACUGACCCCUAAUCCUUCCUUUUCAGCCAGAUCUGGGAUCUCAGGCACCGAGGACAAACCUGGGUAUCCAUGUGGCCCAGAGCCACAGUUCUUUCUAUGUUGGCCCCACUCAUACGCUGGCCAAAGUCCCAGAGGUGAAGUGUUAUCCUGGUUUCCCCUCCUAAGUUCUGACAUAUUGUCAUGCCUGGAAUGUUGCUUCCCCCUCUAGACCUAACACUUGGCCCCAUUCUCAUGCAGCCUUUGCCUUCUUUCUGCUACCCAGGGUUUUCCAUCAUGCCAGGCCAUGGAAUGAUUGUGCUGUGGGAAAUAGCAUAUUUGCAUUAUUGGACCCUCAUUUUGAUUCCUGUUCACUUAAUUCAGUGUCUCUCAACAGCAGUGGUACCACCACCUAGGGGAUGUAUCAGACACUUGAACGGACAUUUUUGGCUGUCAGAAUUAUUGGAAUAGUACUGGUGGCAUUUGCUGAGAGGGAACCAAGGAUGCUAGCUAUCCAGUCAUGUGCAGCACAGGGAGCAGAAGCCGGAGGAAGAGACACUCUCUAAGCAUUGAACCAAAAGCUAUCCAGAUAGAACACUGUGAAGGAUAAGCAGAAAGAGUCCGUCGUUCAAUGACUUCAUUUGAAUCAGAACUAACAACCACCACAACAAAGUAGGGGGACAGUCAUUUCUAAGCCUUGAUGUCUUAUAAGCUGGGCAAACUAAAGUGUACCGUAACCGUAUGUCACACUGAAACUGGGUGAUUUGAGAUGUGGCAGGGUGCAGGGCCCUCAGAGGAGGGAGUGGUCAGCAAAACCCAGAGGAAGGCUUCUGUGUGGAGAGGAUAGGCUGAAGGGAGCUAAAACUUUUGGUCAGCGGAGCAAGAGAAAGCUGGGAAAGCUAGGAAAGAGAGCAUAAAUACCCUGGCCUCACUUUUCUUUUUUUUUCUUUUCUUUUUUUUUUUUUUGAGAUGGAGUCUCGCUCUGUGGUCCAGGCUGGAGUGCAAUGGCACGUUCUCUGCUCACUGCAACCUCCACCUCCCGGGUUCGAGCAAUUCUCCCGCCUCAGCCUUCCGAGUAGCUGGGACUACAGGCGCCUGUCACCAUGCCCGGCUAAUUUUUGUAUUUUUAGUAGAGAUGGAGAUUUUACCAUGUUGGCCAGGCUAGUCUGGAACUCCUGACCUCAGGUGAUCUGCCCACCUCGGCCUCCUAAAGUGCUGGGAUUAUAGGCAUGUGCCACCGCGCCCAGCCAGGAAAUAGAUUUUCAAUUAGUUGGGCCUGGCUCUUUUCCCUCCUUCUUUUUCCUUCUGCCAGGAGUCCCCAUUGGCUGAAUACAACUGGAAACCGGAAGUCAAGUUGGGCUAGCCUCCAUACACACAAAGUAAGAUUGAAAAGGCUAGUCUCUGCCAGAGGGGACCUGGAGGAGCAUAGGGAAGCUAUCUAGCACAGGAUUGUUGCUGCAAUGUUUAGGAAAAAAGACACCACCAUCUGAGCUUAAAUCACAGCUUGUGAUAAACUGUGUGCUGUAUGACUUUGUGGAAGCCACCUGGCUGCUCUAAGCCAUGACAAUGUCUUAUUCUGUUAAAAUGAGGGAAAUAAUAUCUCUGUGAGAUUCACAGAGUUAUUGUGAGGAUAAGGUCAGUAUGUGUAACAUUUAGCCCAGUGCCUGGCACACAGUAAGUGCUAGAUACCUGGUAAAUUACUUUCCCUCCUCCAUAAAACCUAUUCCCUGCUUGCCUUUUUUAAACCAAGCCUAGAUAUCGACUUUCUUUUUCAGUGUUAGCAUGCAUUAGAGAAAUCCUCUUAUUUCUACAAGCCCUGGGCAAGUUUCAGGAUCAUUUCUAUAUCAGAUAUAGCACAGUAAUAAUUGCCUUAAGUCAGGAUAUUACUUAGGCAGAAAGCGUUUAUUUUUUAAUUCUUCAGAAAUGCUGCACAUACUGCAGGGACUAAUUUGACUCUUAGCAAAUAAUUCAGCAUAAAUUGCCACUUAUGUACCAGAAGCCACAUUUUAUUUCCUAGGACAUCUAGACAUUAGACAUCAGCUGUGCCCUAUAUGUUUGUUUCAGGUAAUGCGAUUCCCCCAGCAUGCAGAAAAUUUUCACUGCUUUGCCAUUUGGGGAAGCUCAAAAGAUUUACUAUAAGUCAGUUGCUCGUUCCAAGGAUUAGAGCAUUUUUACUUGUAAAACUGCACACCAAUUUACAAUGUCAUUUCCAAGUUCUGAUGGAAAGUCUCUAAUGUAUUUCUCUUCUCAUUUAAUGUUUUUAUCCAUUAUCCUCUAGGCUGGAAUAUUUUCUGUUAUCCUAUUCACCCAGAGUAAUUCCAAAACAAUGGAGGCAAGGCCUCUAGAGGCAUCUGGACCGUGUCCAGGAUGCAGGCUUUCUCUGUGGUGCUCUGAUGACAAGGGGAAAAAAUCAAGGACGUUGAGCGCAGUUUUGAAAAAGGCUCACAAAAUGAUCAUAAUGCUUAAAUGUGUAUCCACUUUCUACUUUACUAAGUAACUUCAUAGCCAUUAUGUCAACUGAGGUGGGACAGGAAAAAUUACCUGCUUGCUCUUAACAGAUGAGUAAACCAGUUCUACAAGAUGUUAAGUAGUUUGCCCAGGGCCUUCCAAUAAUUUGGGUUGGCAAAGGAUGAGAAUAUAGGUCUUGAAAUUAUUCUAAAGUGCUUAUCCAGGAAUGAAAAAGUAAACUUACUAAAUUGACAUCCUAGAGUCACUUGCUGACUGCCUGUUGUCUGUAAAAGAAUAAAAUAAAGACUACCUACCAGAGCUUUAACAUCAAAAAAGAAAGCAGAGCACCUGUAGUCCCAGAUACUUGAGAGGAUCACAUGAGCCAGGAGUUGGAGGCUGCAGUGAGCAGUGACCACAACACAGCAUUUCAGCCUGGGUGACAGAGCAAGACCCUGUCAUCAGUUAAAAAACAAAAACAAAACAAAACAAAAAAAUCACUGACUAGUUUGCUGAGGGGGAAAGUCAGAAUUUUGUAAAUGCUGUAGAAGUGGAGGGGAUUCAAGGUGGUUAUGCUAAUUAAGCCCUGAAAACUAAUGUUCUGAAGAGGACAGACCCAGACCAUAAGUCUUACAUGACUGGUUAAAACAAGACCCAUUGCUCUUCGGAUGGGGGAAUCUUCAGUUAGGCCCAGUGAGGGUCUCUGUGAGGGCAGGUGGGUCACUAAAAGUUGACAUUCCUUUAUCAGCUUCAGCAGGUUGCAAUAGUUAAGCACAGGAUUCACUUUUGACAUCUUCACAAACUCUCAAACUUCUCAAACGUUCAUCAGAAUCCCCUGGAGGGUUUCCUGGGCCCAACCCGAGAGUUUCUAAUUCAGCAGGUCUGGAGUAAAACCUCAGAAUCUGCAGUUUUGUCAAGCACCCAAAUGGUGCUUUGCAGCUGGUUCAGGGUCCAUGCUUUGAGAACCACUAUCCUAGACACAUGAUGCUCUAAAUAGAGUUUUAAUUUGAUACCAACCUCCUCUUUAGGAUCUAACUACUAAAUGACUCCCUCACACCCAGGAAGGACAGUGAUUUCUCCUCAUAAUAGCCUUCAUAUCCACUUAUGGAAGACUUGGCUUUUCUUGCAACAGUAGCUCUCGGAGCACGGAACUAUUGUAUGGGGGAGUAGGGAAGGCAUAAAGAAAUUGCUAAUAGGAUCUAAAGUCAACGCAACUUCAUACAUUUAUCCGUUCAUUUCCCUUCCUUGGGAGGAAUCAGUACUGAAUGACUUGAUUUGCCUUUUUAAAAAAUAGCAUCAUAUCCAUUGAUUCAAUCUCAUUACAUUUAGAAUUUGCUUCUAUUGCCUUACCCUCCCAGAUCAAUAACCAUAUUUUUCCGUGCUCAUAACUUUCUCCUAUCUUAUUUUUGUCAGUUUACAAUCUGCUCUAUUUUUUACUAUGACUCAGCUUUACAGUUCUCCACACUGAGAAUUCUCCUAGUAAAAAUCCAGCGUUCUUCACUUAGACCCUCUUUGCUCCUUUUCUGAGCGCAUAUCCCUCACUGCCUCAUAUUAGUUAUUUGUGUGCCUGCUUGUGUCUUCCAGUGGAUUGGUGUCUAUGAGGAGAAGGAGCUUACUGUGAGGUGUUGUUUUCUUCCCAACACCAGUCCAGGCCCUGCUCAUAAUAGACAAUAAACAUUGGUUUUGGUCUCUUGGCAGUUUUGAAUCAGAUAUGCCUCAGCUGAUUAUUUUUAAAAUUUUUAUUUAGAAUCUCAUAAGUAAAAUUCAUAUUUUUUGACUUGUAGUUCUGAGUCAUGACAAACACAUAGUGAUGUAAUCAAACCACAAUUAAGACUUGAAACAGCUCCAUUAUUCCCUGCAUACAUGCUGCCCUUUUGUGGUUAAAAACAAAAACAAAACAAAAAAAACUCCCCUUUCCCUGAGUUCCUGGAAACCACUGAUCAGUUCUCUGUCCCUGUAGUUUAUCCUUUCCUUAAUGUCAUGUAAUAGGAAUCCUAUAGUAUGUAUCCACUGGCUUGUUUCACUUAGAAAAAUGCAUUUGAGAGUCAUUUAUUUUGGUGCAUAUACAAUAGUUCAUUCUUUAUUGCUGAAUAGUGUUCCACUGAAUGGAUACACAAUCUGUUUAUACAUUCGCCAGUUGUAAGACGUUCGGGUUGUUGCCAGUUUGGGGCAUUUAUGAGUAAAGCUUUUAUAAAUAUUCACUUGUAGGUUUCUGUGUGAACAUAAAUUUUCAUUUGUAUUGGAUAAACACCUACGGGUGUGAUUGCUGAGUGAUACUGUAAGUGUAUGUUUAACUAAGAAACUGCCAACGUUUUCUAAGAAUACAAUAUGACUGUAUCAUUUGAUCUUUUUAUCAGCAAUAUGAGUUCCAGUUACUCCACAUCAUCCCCAUAAGCUCUUGGAAUUAUCAGUUUGUUUCAUUCUGUUUUGUUUUGCUUUGUUUUGCUUUAGUCAUCC
rnacentral:lncRNA from 10 species